rnacentral:rRNA from 1 species
GACGAACGCUGGCGGCGUGCUUAACACAUGCAAGUCGAGCGGAGCGGCGAACGGGUGAGUAACGCGUGAGUAACUGCCCCCCUCUCUGGGAUAACAGUUGGAAACGGCUGCCAAUACCGGAUAGUGGGGGAUGACUCGCGUCCUAUCAGCUUGUUGGUGGGGUAGUCGCCUACCAAGGCGACGACGGGUAGCCGGCCUGAGAGGGCGACCGGCCACAUUGGGAUGAGAUACGGCCCAAACGACUACGGGAGGUAGCAUUGGGGAAGAUUGCACAAUGGGGGAAAACCUGAUGCAGCGACGCCGCGUGGGGGAGGAAGGCUUUCGGGUUGUAAACCUCUCAUUGCAAGGCUCGGGUAUGUGGAGAAGAAGCGCCGGCUAACUACGUGCCAGCAGCCGCGGUAAUAC